rnacentral:rRNA from 1 species
AAAGUUACUUCGGUACAUCGGUGACAGGUGAUGCAUGGUUGUCGUCAGCUCGUGUCGUGAGAUGUUGGGUUAAGUCCGCAACGAGCGCAACCCCUAUUGUUAGUUGCCAUCAUUCAGUUGGGCACUCUAGCGAGACUGCCGGUAAUAAACCGGAGGAAGGUGGGGAUGACGUCAAAUCAUCAUGCCCCUUAUGACCUGGGCUACACACGUGCUACAAUGGUUGGUACAACGAGUUGCGAGUCGGUGACGGCGAGCUAAUCUCUUAAAGCCAAUCUCAGUUCGGAUUGUAGGCUGCAACUCGCCUACAUGAAGUCGGAAUUGCUAGUAAUCGCGGAUCAGCACGCCGCGGUGAAUACGUUCCCGGGCCUU